rnacentral:miRNA from 5 species
CAAGUCUUAUUUGAGCACCUGUU